GUGUAGUGGGUCUGCGUGCGCGUGCGUGCGUGUUUACAUCUUUCUUUGCAACUCAGUUGGGAGCUGGCUCUGGCGGUGUUUAAUUGUGUCCGCGGCUGUUCGAUGUGCCAAGCAGAGCUGGCGAGGCCGUUGUUCCUGCUGCCCCCACCCCGCGGGCUGCUCCUGCAGGGAUGGGGGGGUGGGGGCAGGGCAGGGCCUCGCUCAGCUGGGGCCUCAGCUGUGUUGCUUGCUCCCUCCUCCUGAGCUUAUGGUGCCUCAGGGAUCCCGAGACCCCGAGAACAGACUGCUCCUCGCUCAUCGCCAGUGCUGCGGAGAGCUGCCAGGCAGCGCCCCACGCUGCGCCCAGUGGGCAUCUCCGGCCAGUCUCCCUGGGUUACACGGUUCUCGGCAUAGAAAUCAGUGUUCGCUUAUUUUUAAUACAUUCACUUAGUAGAUCGGGCGAGGCUGCAUGGCUGCGUAGGAGCAAAUGACUGGCUUUCUCCUUCGCCUCCUCUCUUUUGUGCCCUCCUGGCAGGGAGCACCAGGGAGGCAGCUCAGGGCCUGGGUGAACAGGGGAUUUGGAGCAGACAGCCCAGCUUGAACCUGCUCCUGACAUUUUCUGUUUGUGCCAAUGAAUAAGUCACUUAACGUCUGUGUUCCUCAAUGCAGUGUUUGUAAAGUGGGGAUGAUAAUAAUGAUACUACACUCCUCCAAGAUGGUCUAGGGGGUGAGAAAAUGCAUAUGGAAGCCUUUUGUAAAAUAUAAAUCACAGUUCUUUUAUUUUGCUGCUCAGAACAUGACUUGACCUGUGAGGUAACACGCCUAGCACCUGGACGGAGGGCGUCGUGAAACGACCUCGGAUGGGACUGGAGCGGGGACGAGCCUCCAACCUCCCUCCUGCUGUGGACCAAAGCCAUGACCCGGCAGGGUGGAUCCAAUCAUCUCCAGUGCUAAGAGGGUGAUGGUUCAGGGUGGAGCCCAGAGCGGACGGUGGGGCUCAGGUAAGUGUGACUGUGCUGUGAUCCGAGGUGUGGGAGGCCCAGGCCCUCCUCUGGGCCCUGCUGGUAAGUAGGGAUGUGGCCCUGAGAUGAGCUAAUUUAACUGGACCUCAAUUCCCUCGGGAUCGUGGAAUAAAAGCUCUCAAAGGUGA